CCAAGGCAUUAGGGGUGAAGCAAUGGAAAUGAUCAAAGGUUUUCCUUCAGCAGAUGUAAAAUGUCUAGAUGAUUCAAGGCCAGGUCAAGCAAAUACUAAUGAGAGUCUCCUGUGUGGUCAUGGAGGAGCCCCAAAAGAAAAAAGGAGUGAUGCCAGUGAAGGGAGCUAAGUGAAGAUGGAUCAUGUCUUCUUUUCACAUUGGUUAUCGCUUCAAAAAGCCACUCUUUACUUAAGUUUCUCAAGUCACUGCAUGCACACAAAUCCAGUCCCCAGAGGAUGCGAGUUGAAAAUUAAUGAAAUGAGGUCGCUUUGUCAUUGGAAGUCACUGCACGUGUGGAUGGUGAAUUUGUAUUUAUUUAUUUUUGUUGCUGUUUUCCAUCUUGGCCCUGCUGUGCUUUAAUUACACAUUUGGUUUUAAUUUAGAAGUGCCUGAUUCACAUGCAUCCUAGACCAAUGAUCUUCACUUUAUGGAACUUCAGAUAAAGUUGUGAAUUCUUGGGUAUAUUUGAGUAUGCACAGUGACCCGUUUUAAAUCUCUUAAAAAGUG